rnacentral:misc_RNA from 1 species
UUAACUUAUUUUUGUAUACUCGAGAUGCCAACGCAAAGAAACAGAAUUUGAAGGCUGCCGGCGGGCUGAACGCCCCGGGAGACCCGGGGCACCCGCCGAAGCAACGUAUUUGUAGUAAGUUCACAGGGGUUAUAGGAGUCUUUCGAUCCUGUAAUGAUCCCUCCGCUGGUUCACCAACGGAGA